UUGUGUGACGUUGCCUGCAACUUGUUUUUUGGCACAUUUUUUUCACAUAACAUUAAAAUUAAAAUUAAAAGGCCAAAAAAAAAAAUCAGUCUACCUACGCCGCCAUCAUCUUCCACACCAACACCAUCCAUGGCCGAUCCCCAUCUGCAAUCACCACCUUCAAUCAAAAUCUUCUUACGUACUGGCUAAAACUACAACAGGAAUCAGAUAUCAAAGUCCCCAGUCCUCUCAAGGAAACUUAACUGUCUUAAUAUCGAAGGACCAAAAGCUCAAAAAGAAGUAGAAGAGCUCAAGCGGGCCUGCAUCAACGAGCGGGAUACAUUUGAGAGAAACCCUCCCCCUUCCCCAACCCAAGUCAAAAAAGAAUUAUUGCCGACAAAACAAACAAUCAAACCCACAGAAACUACUUAGGAAACAAAAAAAGGAACACAAGACCUCCCUGUUAAGUUCUUCAGUUGCUUUUUCUUCCUCUCGCUUUUUUUUAUAUUGCCCUUGUGGCUCCAAGAGGAUGUGGAUUCAUCUGAUGCUCUGUUGGUGGUUCAGAGCUCUUUCUUAGUUGUAUAUUUUGACAGGCUAAUCAUAUGUGUGCCGAUUCUGCAAAAAUUUAAAAUCACAAAUUGACUCCAGCAAAAAUGACCCAUCAUCAUGGGAAAAUUGAGAAAUAUUAAUUUGCCUACUUUACGCCCAAAUAAAAAAUUAAUCCCUAAAAUUCACAAAAUCUGCAUAUUUUAAAUCAAUUUUUUAAUUCUUAUUUCUUAGAUUUGGAUUUGUUGAAG
rnacentral:lncRNA from 1 species